CUUCGGCACCUGUUUUACAGACACCUAAAGCUACAUCGUCAACGUUAUAUUUUGAUAGUUUGACGGUUAAUGCUGGUAAUGGUGGUUUUCUUCAUUGCAUUCAGAUGGAUACAUCUGUCAACGCCGCUAAUCAGGUUGUUUCUGUUGGUGCUGAUAUUGCUUUUGAUGCCGACCCUAAAUUUUUUGCCUGUUUGGUUCGCUUUGAGUCUUCUUCGGUUCCGACUACCCUCCCGACUGCCUAUGAUGUUUAUCCUUUGGAUGGUCGCCAUGAUGGUGGUUAUUAUACCGUCAAGGACUGUGUGACUAUUGACGUCCUUCCCCGUACGCCGGGCAAUAAUGUUUAUGUUGGUUUC
rnacentral:rRNA from 1 species